rnacentral:rRNA from 1 species
UACGUAGGGUGCAAGCGUUGUCCGGAAUUAUUGGGCGUAAAGAGCUCGUAGGCGGUUUGUCGCGUCUGCCGUGAAAAGUCCGGGGCUCAACUCCGGAUCUGCGGUGGGUACGGGCAGACUAGAGUGAUGUAGGGGAGACUGGAAUUCCUGGUGUAGCGGUGAAAUGCGCAGAUAUCAGGAGGAACACCGAUGGCGAAGGCAGGUCUCUGGGCCGAUACUGACGCUGAGGAGCGAAAGCGUGGGGAGCGAACAGG